AAAGGAAUUGACGGGGACCCGCACAAGCAGCGGAGCAUGUGGUUUAAUUCGAAGCAACGCGAAAAACCUUACCAAGACUUGACAUCAUCUGACCGCCGUAGAAAUACGGUUUUCCGCAAGGACAGGUAGACAGGUGGUGCAUGGUUGUCGUCAGCUCGUGUCGUGAGAUGUUCGGUUAAGUCCGGCAACGAGCGCAACCCUUAUGAAUAGUUGCCAAUAUUUAGUUAGGAACUCUAUUCAGACUGCCGUGGAUAACACGGAGGAAGGUGGGGAUGACGUCAAAUCAUCAUGCCCCUUACGUCUUGGGCUACACACGUGCUACAAUGGCUAUCACAAAGCGCAGCAAAACGGUAACGUCGAGCGAAUCGCAUAAAAAUAGUCUCAGUUCAGACUGUGGGCUGAAACCCGCCCACACGAAGUCGGAGUUGCUAGUAAUCCCGAAUCAGCAUGUCGGGGUGAAUGCGUUCCCGGGUCUUGUACACACCGCCCGU
rnacentral:rRNA from 1 species